CAGUCUUUUUUGCUCUUUGUCAAGGGAUCCAAUCAUUCUGGACUUCACUGUAUAACUCUAUGACUGGAUUCUGGACUGGGUAAAAUGAUGAGUGGGCGGGGCCUAACCUUGUAUGACUUCCUGUUGGUCAGGUUCGAGGAGUUCCUCCAGAGGAAGUGGUCAUCAGAGAAGCGUUUUGGUCUGGAGGGCUGUGAGUCUCUCAUCCCGGCCCUGAAGACCAUCAUCGACAAGUCCAGCAUGAACGGAGUAGAGAGCAUCAUCAUGGGCAUGCCCCACAGGUACUGUUACCAUGGAAUUGCCAAUCACAGGCUGCCCCACACGUAGCGUCGCUACGGCAGUACUAGACACCGCUCUCAACCUACUGUUGUAGCUCUCCUGGUUGCUGGGUUCCCGGGAAUAUUUACAGUUUCCAUUACAACUACUUACAUGCUGUUUAACAUGUUCUUUACUGGAAAACCCAGAUAGAUUGUUCAUUAGACAUGUAACAUUUGCUAUACUGUACAUGAAAGCUAAAAGUCUAUCGUAGUUUCUCUCUCCCCAGGGGGAGGUUGAAUGUGUUGGCCAAUGUGAUCCAUAAGGAGCUGGAUCAGAUCUUCUGUCAGUUUGACUCCAACCUGGAAGCUGCUGAUGAGGGUUCUGGAGAUGUGAAGUACCAUUUGGGGAUGUGGCACCGUAGGAUCAACCGGGUCACUGAUAGGAACAUCACGCUGUCACUCAUGGCUAACCCCUCCCAUCUGGAGGCUGUGGACCCCGUGGUGCAGGGCAAGACCAAGGCUGAGCAGUUCUACUGUGGAGACACAGAGGGAAAAAGAGUAUGUACACACACAAAUGCACACCGAUUUUUCUGUGUGUGUGUGCAUUUAUAUUUCUGUGUGUGUGUUCCAGGUGAUGUCCAUCCUGCUCCAUGGUGAUGCAGCGUUUGCAGGCCAGGGGGUUGUCUACGAGACCUUCCACCUCUCUGAUCUGCCCUCCUACACCACCCACGGCACUGUCCAUGUGGUGGUCAACAACCAGGUAACACAUCCUGCAACACCAAACACACCACUAUCCAUGUGGUGAUCAAAAACCAGGUAACACAUCCUGCAACACCAAACACACCACUGUCCAUGUGGUGAUCAAAAACCAGGUAACACAUCCUGCAACACCAAACACACCACUGUCCAUGUGGUGAUCAAAAACCAGGUAACACAUCCUGCAACACCAAACACACCACUGUCCAUGUGGUGAUCAAAAACCAGGUAACACAUCCUGCAACACCAAACACACCACUGUCCAUGUGGUGAUCAAAAACCAGGUAACACAUCCUGCAACACCAAACACACCACUGUCCAUGUGGUGAUCAAAAACCAGGUAACACAUCCUGCAACACCAAACACACCACUGUCCAUGUGGUGAUCAAAAACCAGGUAACACAUCCUGCAACACCAAACACACCACUGUCCAUGUGGUGAUCAAAAACCAGGUAACACAUCCUGCAACACCAAACACACCACUGUCCAUGUGGUGAUCAAAAACCAGGUAACACAUCCUGCAACACCAAACACACCACUGUCCAUGUGGUGGUCAACAACCAGGUAACACAUCCUGCAACACCAAACACACCACUGUCCAUGUGGUGAUCAAAAACCAGGUAACACAUCCUGCAACACCAAACACACCACUGUCCAUGUGGUGAUCAAAAACCAGGUAACACAUCCUGCAACACCAAACACACCACUGUCCAUGUGGUGAUCAAAAACCAGGUAACACAUCCUGCAACACCAAACACACCACUGUCCAUGUGGUGAUCAAAAACCAGGUAACACAUCCUGCAACACCAAACACACCACUGUCCAUGUGGUGAUCAAAAACCAGGUAACACAUCCUGCAACACCAAACACACCACUGUCCAAGUUCUUCUGACGAUCUUCAUUUGGUGUAUCCUGUCACUGACUCUUAGACAAAUCCUGAUUUUGUGGAGGUGAUGCUUGAAGUGGAGGAGGGAGUUUUACUGGAAAUUUGGGGUGUUUCUGUCAUGGGGAGGGGCUUACUUCCGUAAAUAGAGUUAGCUAGUGUACACAACAUUUGGUUCUGGGUUCUGAGAUUAACUACCAGGUAACAAACACACUUUAACUGCCCCAUGAAUAGCCUGUUGUUCUCUAUACCCUACACAAACACACACACAAAACCUCCUACAUCACUGUCACAUUCACAGAAGAACAACCCUGUUACACGCCCGCACCCACACACCCUCUAACCACCGGUCUCUUUUCCCUGUAGGUUGGUUUCACCACUGACCCCAGGGUGGCGAGGUCAUCAUCCUACCCUACAGACGUGGCCAAAGUGGUCAAUGCCCCCAUCUUCCACGUCAACGCUGAUGACCCCGAGGCCGUCAUGUACGUGUGUAACGUCGCCGCCGAGUGGAGAGCCACCUUUCACAAGGACGUGGUGGUAGACUUGGUGAGAGUGUUCCCUGAUCAGGGUGGUGUUCAUUAGGCAAACGGAAGAGCACUGACAAACACGAUUUUUUGAAAUAGCUUUCUAGGUGGGGAAACACUACUACAUUAGUAAAAUAUUGACCUCUUGCUAGAUUGAUGACUAAAGCCACAGUGAAAUGGUGCAAAACGCCUGUCAGCUCUAAAUAACGUUUUCUGUCACGUGCCCCAA